AGCUUUCCGAAUUCAUGCAGAAAUUUCGUCAGACGCCAAUCCGUUAGGGCUGAUCAGACUUUCAAGGUAAGUGAAGUU
rfam:Schistosoma haematobium scaffold959_11, whole genome shotgun sequence.